rnacentral:rRNA from 1 species
AACGAACGCUGGCGGCGGGCCUAACACAUGCAAGUCGAACGCUGUAGCAAUACAGAGUGGCAGACGGGUGAGUAACGCGUGGGAACCUACCCUUUGGUUCGGAACAGCUCAGGGAAACUUGAGGUAAUACCGGAUAAGCCCUUCGGGGGAAAGAUUUAUCGCCAAAGGAUGGGCCCGCGUCGGAUUAGCUAGUUGGUGGGGUAACGGCCUACCAAGGCGACGAUCCGUAGCUGGUCUGAGAGGAUGAUCAGCCACACUGGGACUGAGACACGGCCCAGACUCCUACGGGAGGCAGCAGUGGGGAAUAUUGGACAAUGGGGGCAACCCUGAUCCAGCCAUGCCGCGUGAGUGACGAAGGUCUUCGGAUUGUAAAGCUCUUUUGGCGGGGAAGAUAAUGACGGUACCCGCAGAAUAAGCCCCGGCUAACUUCGUGCCAGCCGCCGCCGUAA